rnacentral:precursor_RNA from 16 species
AAGGAGGACAACGAGAAACGGUUGUGGUAGAAUUGCACUAGAGUGAUUUGUUGAUUUUUGGACAUCAAAUCACUUCAGUGCAGUUCUCUCACGGCUUGUACAAGUCAUCCGGCGAUG